AGUAACGGAGGCGCUCAAAGGUUCUCUCAGCACGGUCGGAAAUCGUGCGUAGAGUGUAAAGGCACAAGAGAGCUUGAUUGCAAGACAUACAGGUCGAGCAAGGACGAAAGUCGGACUUAGUGAUCCGGUGGUACCGCAUGGAAGGGCCAUCGCUCAACGGAUAAAAGCUACCCUGGGGAUAACAGGCUUAUCUCCCCCAAGAGUCCACAUCGACGGGGAGGUUUGGCACCUCGAUGUCGGCUCAUCACAUCCUGGGGCUGUAGUAGGUCCCAAGGGUUGGGCUGUUCGCCCAUUAAAGUGGUACGCGAGCUGGGUUCAGAACGUCGUGAGACAGUUCGGUCCCUAUCCGUCGCAGGCGUAGGAAAUUUGAGGAGACCUGUCCUUAGUACGAGAGGACCGGGAUGGACGCACCUCUGGUGUACCAGUUGUUCUGCCAAGGGCAUAGCUGGGUAGCUACGUGCGGAAUGGAUAAGCGCUGAAAGCAUCUAAGCGCGAAGCCGACUUCAAGAUAAGAUUUCCCACCGUAAGGGUAAGACCCCAGGAAGACUACCUGGUUGAUAGGUCGAAGGUGUAAGUGCAGUAAUGUAUGUAGCUUAUCGAUACUAAUAGGUCGAGGACUUGACCAAU
rnacentral:rRNA from 1 species